rnacentral:rRNA from 1 species
GACGAACGCUGGCGGCGUGCCUAAUACAUGCAAGUCGAGCGAAGUUUUUCUGUUGCUUGCACUAGAAAAACUUAGCGGCGAACGGGUGAUUAACACGUAAAGAACCUGCGUCAUAGACUUGUACAACUAUUGGAAACGAUAGCUAAUACCGGAUAACAGCAAUAACUGCAUGGGUGAUGUUUAAAAGUUGGUUUUGCUAACACUACGAGAUGGCUUUGCGGUGCAUUAGCUAGUUGGUGAGGUAAAGGCCUACCAAGGCGACGAUGCAUAGCCGACCUGAGAGGGUGAUCGGCCACACUGGGACUGAGACACGGCCCAGACUCCUACGGGAGGCAGCCGUAGGGCAUCUUCCGCAAUGGGCGCAAGCCUGACGGAGCACCGCCGCGUGAGUGAAGAAGGCUCUCGGUUCGUAAAGCUCUGUUGUUAGGGAAGAAUGCCUGUGUCGUACCUCUACACAGUAGAGCCGGUACCUAAAAAGAAAGCAACGGCUACCUACGUG